GGAACCUUCAGGAGGUCUUCUUGGAGCUCAGGGAUGGGCACCGGAUUCCCGUGUUCAAGCCCAGCGGGGAGGGGCCCGCGAGUCUCCCCGUGGUUCUCGCCGCAUCGGUGAGAAGGGUUUCUAAACGGAAGAGGUUUCCGAAGGUCAGCAUCCGGUUGCCCAGGGAGAAAGGCCUUCCUCCUGUUGCUCUACCUUGAGUUCAUGAUGAGUAGCUUGUGGACAUUCUCAAGCACUCGCAAUUUUAUUUUCUCUAUUGUUGUUCUAGUUUCUUAUUUGUUUUUGUCACCAGCUGCCUGUCUGAUAGAAGAUUUUGCCAAAUAAUACGCUCUCAUGCACCCAUUUUGAAAGCUUAGAACAGUUAUGUGUGCAAAAGCACCUGUGAAACACGGGAAAGUUGAAGCCAACAGAUCCGUGCUCGUCUCCUUUCCACACGGCUUAACGACAUACUAGGGAACCUCACCUAUUGGUUUUACCAAUUUUCCAAGGGGACAGAAUGAGGAAGCAAAGCCCUUCCGUGCCUUGGGCACUGGAUGAUACAGAAUCCAGAAAUCUGCUGCCUUGGCUGCGAAAGGCCAAUUUAACUCUCUUGAUGUUAUUAGGCUUAAUUCCGUUUUCGUGAGUUCGAAUAUAAUUGAUGAGCUCCGAGUCUUUUCUGAGAGCCUUCUCUCCCAUGAGUAUUAAGCAUAAACACUCUGGUAGCGUGUGGGGCCUUUCAUCACUGGAAGCAAUUUCUGAUCUGUAGUUUUGUUUCUUUAAGCAAAUAUGUUCUUUGAAUCGAUUCUAAAGUGAAAACGGCUUUUCUCAGACGGCCUCUUCCAGUUGGUGUCGGUAACUGCUGUGGUCUGUGCGUCUCCCUCGAGUACACGCCCUUCAUAUGCUGCUUCGUAUCUGACGGUUCUCUAACAGCUUUCGCUUCCUUUCGGUGUUUGCUGGAUUGUUCUCCUGCUGGGGCCAACCGUAGACAACCAGGGCCUGAGCGGGCCAUCUGUUUUGAAGUAAAAGCAACUGACAUUUUUGUAUAGAAUUUGGAUUAUGAGGUUUUCCGGGCCCAACUGACAGGAAACAGUAUCACGUAGUGAAAAGAUCCUUGAUUUCUAUGUGGAAGUCACCCUCUCGGGUAUUUUUUUCCCAGUUAAGCAUUCGUCCACAUAGGCACGUCCUAGCGCCGUCGUGGUUGACUGUGAGGCUGGAACCCAGUCGCCCUAGCAGAUACUGACCUUCCUGUUCCUGAAGCAGUGAGGUGUCUAUCUCUGCAGCCCACGACUUCCUGCAUGUCCAGUAAAUGCUGUGACUCAGCCCUGGACCCCAGGAGGGACCUUGAAGACAUCCUGGCUAAAGCACAUCAUCAUCCGAGGCCAAGGCGACUUCUCACCAUUGGAGCACGUGCUCGAGGCACACCCCAGCAGUCAGACCGACGGUCUAGCAGCUGGAGGAAGGGCUGCACUAGAAGUGUAGACGGAUGAAACCACAGUAGAGGGAUCACAGCCAACAACAGGCAGGAGGACUCCCACGUGUCUGCCACACAGGACGCUGCACGGUCGCUGCUCACAAGUGGCUCACCUACUGGUGUGCACGCUGGGUGGGCAGGGGCUGGUCGCGCUCCUGGGCCAGAAGGGUUCAGGUGGUGGUGCUAAAAUGAGGUAGGAGAGAGAGACCGGUUCGGAUGAAUCCAAGAGGCCCAGCAUCACCCCUCCUCCUUGGGCUGGCGACCUUGUGCGACUUGAAAUCCUAAGAUUCAGACAUGAUGGAGACGGCUCUGCAAGCAGGAGGAACAUGAAGAAAGGCCCAGCAGAGGCAGUGUGUGUGGCUUAGCUGACGGUACAGCCACCGGGCAGCCCCGUGUGAACGCCAGCGUUGGCGUUUCGAUGCGGCUUGUGGCCAUCAGGUUUUGAGUGAAGUAUAUGAGUCUACUGUUAAUGAAGGUUUAAGAGACUGUGCUGAAUUGUACUGACAAGACCUGUCAACUUUCAAAGUCUCAGCUUUAGCUGUCAUCCCAUUCUUGUAGAUUUAGCUUCCCCCGCCGCUCGUCCCUCCAGCCGUCCCCCAUUCACCCACCCAGGCAUUUAAUAUACCCCCCACCCCAGUUCUCAGCAACGAUGAAGCUCAAAUAAGCUGCCUUCGCAGGAAGCUGCCAGCAGCACUCACCGGAGAAACAGUGGCCUCUGUGCUCUGGCCGAGCGGAGGUCAGGAGACUGGUCCCUCGCCAGCAGCUCCAUGGGGCUCGGGAGGGCACGUCGCCUUAGGCUGCUUGACAGUCGGGUUUUCAGUUUGUCCAGGUAAAAACGAGGAAUGGUUACCCAUCGCUGUGCUUCCAGGUGAGGCCCUGUUUACACUGCUUGGGCAAAAGCCGCUGUAUACACAGGAGGCGGGGGGACUGGGUGCAGCGGGGUGUGCAGGAGGAGGCGAGAGGGUGAAAGGAAAACCUCCAGCACCCCCCCGCCCCCGGAAGAUUCUCGCUUCUGCACUAACCUGUUUGCUGGCCAGGCUUGUCUUUCGCCAGCUUGAGCAGCUGCGUCGUUGAGCGCGCGGUCAGCAGUGUGAACGGAGGCUCUGACGAUUUGCAAACUCAAGGUUCAAAAGUGGGAGGUGGGGAUACUAAGAACGCCUCAGACACUGCUAUGCUGUGUGCAUAGCAUUUAUAUACAUGGGCAUUUAAUACAUGGGGUGUAUUAAAUGCCUUUUAUCAUUAAGCCUGCCACCAGGUAACUAUUUUAAAUUUAGCAACCAUGUGUCAGUUACUUUGCAGUCUUGAUAGGAAGGUAACUUUUUACUUCGAAAUUAUUUUUAGAAAGAAACUAUAGAUCAUUCUCUUUCAUGAGUGUUUCAAAAUUCUAAAUAAAAUAUUAG
rnacentral:lncRNA from 1 species